AUUGGGUUGCCCAAAAAGUUCAUUUGGGUUUUUCGGUAAGAUGUUAUGAAAAAACCCAAACGAACUUUUUGGCCAACCCAAU
ensembl:miRNA